AGUGAACGCUGGCGGUAGGCCUAACACAUGCAAGUCGAACGGCAGCACAGUAAGUGCUUGCUCUUACGGGUGUCGCGUGUCGGACGGGUGAUUUAUACAUCGGAAUCUACUUUUUCUUGGGUGCUAACGUAGGGUAACUUACGCUAAUACCGCAUACGUCCUACGUGUGAAAGCAGGGGUUCUUCUGACCUUUCGCGAUUGUAUGAGCCGAUGUCGGAUUAGUUAGUUGGCUGGGUAAAGGCCCACCAAGGCGACGAUCCGUAGCUGGUCUGAGAGGAUGAGCAGCCAGACUGGAACAGAGACACGGAACAGACACCGACGGGAGGAAGCAGAGGGGAAUAUUGGACAAGGGGGGAAAGCAGGAUAGAGAAAAACCGCGUGGGGGAAGAAGGAGUACGGGUUGGAAAGCCCUUUUGUUGGGAAAGAAAAGAAGCAGGUUAAAACCCCGAUGUAAUGACGGUACCGAAAGAAUAAGCACCGGCUAACUUCGUG
rnacentral:rRNA from 1 species